UACGUAGGGUGCAAGCGUUGUCCGGAAUUAUUGGGCGUAAAGGGCUCGUAGGCGGUUUGUCGCGUCGGGAGUGAAAACCUUGGGCUUAACUCAGGGCUUGCUUUCGAUACGGGCAGACUAGAGGUAUGCAGGGGAGAACGGAAUUCCUGGUGUAGCGGUGAAAUGCGCAGAUAUCAGGAGGAACACCGGUGGCGAAGGCGGUUCUCUGGGCAUGAUCUGACGCUGAGGAGCGAAAGUGUGGGGGAGCGAACAGG
rnacentral:rRNA from 1 species